CUGCUACCAGCGGUUCCAACUUAAGCCGGUCGUCUAAUCGCCUUGAAUUUGAGUUUGCGCACCUGUAGCUGCAGAACAGGAGUGGUGCUGACCCCUUCAGGUUGUUCCCGGAGUAAAUGCGCCGCCUCAGGAAAAGUGUUCGCUGGGAGGAAGAAGCGCCAGAAUCCACCCAAGGGAGCGGCGCAGGGAGCGGGGAAGAAGCAGAUGAGCAAGGAAAGGGGGGAUCAGAUUUUUGCAGAGGGAGUGACUUUUUGCUUGGCUGAAGAAAGGCAAGGAAGAGGUCCCUGUCACAAGGUGCUUGACGGUGGGAAAAGCAUGCGAGCCUGGAGAACAGCCCGUCUAAGGGCCAGGAGGUGGAAAGGGCUUGUUUGGGGAUUCCACCCCCCCCCCCCCCCACCUCCGGCGCUGGCACAACCUGAGGUCCUGCCAGGCCUCCGCCAUCAGUCACCCACUACCAGCCAGGCCUGGGCGGGCUGAGUCUGCGACCCUGGUGGGCAGGUGACACUGACCACCCCUUCCUCCGGACUCAAUCAGAACACAGCCGGUCGCAUCCAAGAGGUGCCAAGUGGGCACCCGGCGCCUGCCCAGGUUCUGCAAGAGCGUGGGCCUCGUGGAGGCAGGGAGGAAGCACGUGUGUGUCUCAGUACAGGGACUCGCUCGGAAAAGUCUUUGAGAACUGGUGACACACGUAUUUGAAAGAUGGAGACACUUUAUUUAGUGGAAUAUUUGUACCUCCUCCCCCCGCCCCGCCCAACUCCUGCGAUCUACUAUCCGUAAGUAUACAGUGAAAAGCCUUCAUCCCAGAAGAACAUCAGACAAGUCUCCUAACUGAGGAACCAUCUAUAAAGUAUCUGACCAGUUCUCAAAACUGUCAAGGCCACCAAAAAGAAGGCAAGACUGAGAAACUGCCGCAGCCAGGAGGAGCCUAAGGAGACAUGACCAUUAAAUGUGAUGUGGGAGCCUGCAUGGGAUCCUGGAACAGAAAAAGGACAUUUGGGGAAAACUAAGGAAACCUGUGAGGCAAGAUGGACUUCAGGCAAUAAUAUAUCAAUGCUGGUUCAUUAACUGUAACCAAAGUACCACACUAACCCUGGAAAGACCCUCAUUCCUGUGGCCAGUUCCCUGUUCAUGGACUUGGGCUCUGCGAUGUCUUGCAGUCCUAACACGACUUGAGGACAAAACCGAGGGCAUAACCCUGGCAAACAGUGGACUUCGAAUCUCUACCUCGCUGUCCUUGAAGUUGGCCCGCCAGCAAACUGCCUGAGUUUUUGAAGCACUUCAAACUUCCAACCGUCAGUGCAUGCCCCCAAAGCCCUUCUGCACGCCGGUCGUCGGCUGGAGUUCAUUCUUAAUUUACGUUUUUUUAAGGUUUUGUGUGGACGUGUUUCCGAAUCUCCCGGGCACAUGCCUACGAAUGGAACUGCCGGAUCACACAGCUACCCUACACUUACCCCUCCGAGAAGCUGCCAGACUGUCUCCCAAAGUACACCGUGUUACAUCCCCUCUAGCACUGUUCCAAUUGUUCUCUGACCCUCGUCAGCACGUGUUAUUAUUGUCUAAUUACGGUCAUGCUAGUGGGUGUGAAAUAGUAUCUCACUGUGUUUUUGUAUUUAAAAAAUGUUUUCCUCAUGUGGUUUUGGUUUGUAUUUCCCUGAUGACUAAUGAAGUUAAACAGCUUUUCAUGUG